UACGGUGGGGGCAAGCGUUGUUCGGAAUUACUGGGCGUAAAGGGCUCGUAGGCGGCCAACUAAGUCGGAUGUGAAAUCCCCAGGCUCAACCUGGGAACUGCAUCCGAUACUGGAUGGCUUGAAUCCGGGAGAGGGAUGCAGAAUUCCAGGUGUAGCGGUGAAAUACGUAGAUAUCUGGAGGAAUACCGGUGGCGAAGGCGGCAUCCUGGACCGGCAUUGACGCUUAGGAGCGAAAGCCAGGGGAGCAAACGGG
rnacentral:rRNA from 1 species